rnacentral:RNase_MRP_RNA from 1 species
CAGCCACAGGAUGAAGUGAGCGGGCCUAACCAGCCCUGGAAAGUCCCCGGGCCCCCUCUGCGCAGCGAUGCGCCCACGGAGACGUGGACGGCCCACGAGCUGCCUCUCUUUCCAUCAAUGGGGUGCUGAGACUGUCCCCAGCGGUGUCUGUAUAUUGCAUCCCUGUUCACGUACGACACGAUACAUGCCUAAUUCACUUGGUCCGCUAUAUAUUCCUGGACUAACAGAACGGGGCUUACACUCCUGUGGCC